AAGACAGUGAUUGUGUGUGAACCAUCUUAAAGAGUUUGUGAUGUAUAUGUGAAAUUGUUAGGAUAUUAUUUAACGUAAGGGAUAAAUAUGAGAUGAUGUUACUUAUGGCAUGCUUGUUAAUACUUAUGCACUAUCUCGGAGCGUUAUGAAGCGUAUACGUGAAAGUAUUAGCGAUGUAUUUGAUGUACGAGUUGAAAUUAUUUACGAGGGAAAUAGCGUAGAAUCUUACACAAGUAUUGAUGGGUUUUGAAGCAAGUUCUGUGAUCUGAUUAAGACCUGUGAAAGUAUAGUAAGUCUGCCAACCUGUACGUAUCACUACAUUUAACACUCCACAGGAAAAUAAACUAUCCUGAAAAAUUUAACGUACGUAAUCGUAAAACUCGAAUACUGUCCAGGUAGUUUGAUGAGGUAUACUUCGGCAAUUUCAAUCAAUAAUCCUGGGUACGAUAUUUCUUUUCCUGAUGCGAGUACUAAUUAGAAUGUGAAACAAUUGCAGACGUAUUCUAUUACUAAUUAGAAUGUGAAACAAUUGCAGACGUAUUCUAUUACUAAUUAGACUGUGAAACAAUUGCAGACGUAUUCUAUUACUAAUUAGAAUGAGAAACAAUUGCAGACGUAUUCUAUUACUAAUUAGACUGUGAAACAAUUGCAGACGUAUUCUAUUACUAAUUAGAAUGUGAAACAAUUGCAGACGUAUUCUAUUCUUGAGUGAUAGGAGUGAAGGCAGGCAGAGUGAGAGUAAACAGAGGUGUAAAACAUGCCAGAGAUCAGAGGGUGGGUGACACUUUUUAUAGAUGAGGUUAAUGGUAAAGAAAAAGAGAGAUGGUGAUUUACAUAAGGGUGAUAAAGUAUAAGAGAGAAGGGACAGUGAACAAUGAUGAGGUAAAUGGUAACGGAAAAUGGAGGUAUAUGGUACAGUAAAGAAUAAAGAAAUGGUGAUAUAUGUUCAAGGGCUAUUACACUGGGCAAAUUUUCCGUGGAUCUUCAGUCAAACCACGAUUUCCGCUGGCGUAGUUCUCAUUUGUUUCUUGUUAUUGCUGCUGCUGAUGAUGGUGAGUAAUGCCGUCGUCCUUCCGUGAAAUCUACCGUAGCUUUGGAAGAUCGUGGACACGUCAGAAAACAACGGAUAUAUGAGAACCAUGCCAGCGGAAAUCGUGGUUUGACUGAAGAUCCACGGAAAAUUUGCCCAGUGUAAUAGCCCCUUAAGGGUGAUAAGGUAUGAGAGAAAAGGGACAGUGAUCAAAGAUGAGUCUAGCUAUAAAUGAUAAGGUAAAGGCAUGAUAUAUAUGAAAGGAUGAUACAGUCCUAGAGAAGGCGCAGUAAAUAAGGGUCAGUCUAGCGUCAGUCUAGCCACACUACCUUAUGUUAUCUUGGCCUGUGGAAGGAAAACUAUACUGAACUUCUUGUUACUGUAUAAAGUUUAGCGUUAUUUAUUAUUGUGGGAGGAUGAUACAGUGCAAGGGGGAAGACUGUGAAUAAGUCUACCCACACAAUUGAAUGUUAUCUUGGCUUGUGGAAGGAAAAACUCCACUGUGCCUCUUGGAUGUUGAUGUUUAAAGAGUAGGGGAAAGUUAUUAUGGAUACAGUAUGAGGGAGAAGACAGGUUGAAUAAAGAGUCUAGCCACACUAUUGAAUAUUGUCUUGUGGAAGGAAAAACUGCAUUAUACUUCUUGGAUAUUGAUGUAUAAAGAGAGUAGGGGAAAGUUUUUAAUGGAGGAUGAUAUAGUACGAGGAAGACAGUGAAUAAAGAGCCUAGCCACACAAAAUGAUGUCUUAUGGAAGGAAAACUAAACUGUACUUGGAUGUUAAUGUAUAAAGAGUUUAGGGGAAAGUUAUUCAUGAUUUGAUCGUAUAUCCAUGAUGCUUAUGCUAAAAUAUGUGAUUUAUGAUAUUACUUGGGCUUAUCAACUAAUAAUGCCAGUCAAACAGAUUUUCUUCUGAUGCACAUUGUGUUGCGUACCAGUAAUGCCAAAAUGUGAAGAUUAUAUAUUGUUCUUCAGAAUGCUCAAGAUAUUUUUGUAUGGUUGUAUCAUCUUUUUCACUGCAUACUGUAUUGUCAGGUUCUGGUGAUUGAGCUUAUUACAUUCUGCACAAAACUUAAAUUCAUCUAAGUCACUCACAGAUCAUUUAUUAUUGUUUCUAUCACAUCAUUACCAGAUAGGGCAUUGAGCACCAUCUUCAAGUUUGAAAAUAAAUCACAAAUUUUUAUAGAAAAACUACUGCAUUGUUAUUAAAAUUAUUUGCCUGCUAUGCUAGAA